AAGUCGUAACAAGGUUUCCGUAGGUGAACCUGCGGAAGGAUCAUUAACACGUAUCCAACGUUAAACCCCCCGUGAACCUUCAGUGCGCUCGCACUUUCUUAGAAAAGGUAGCAAUCCCGAGGCAAGUGGCCUGGCAUUCCUCUGCUUGUUGGUGUCUGAAAGUGUCACCAGCUCUGUACGAAUGGCGCAGUCACGAUCGCUAGAGGCCGACACUGGUUCUC
rnacentral:misc_RNA from 1 species